GCUGGGCACGGUGGCCCAUGCCUUAAUCCCAGCAGCUUGGGAGGCUGAGGCAGGGGGAUCACAAGUUCAAAGCCAGCCUCAGCAAAAGAGAGGGGCUAAGCAACUCAAUGGGACCCUGACUCUA
rnacentral:sRNA from 1 species